CACAGCCCCCACAUUACUGUGAAACUAGUUAAGAGCAGGAAAACUAGCAAUAGGUUCCAAAGAACUAGUAUUGCUUUCGACAGACUUGGACAUUUAACACUCUCCUGAUAAUCUGAUCGAAGAAUUGUGUUUAGUUACUACGAGCAGGCGAGUUUCGGUGCUUAACUUGUUAGCUGUGCUAAUCCAGGUGCUGUUUUACCGGUUAGCACAACAUCAGGCUAGUCCGGUGUCGAGCCAUUCAAGUCCAGACUAGAGCCCUUUCAUAGCACUAAAUAAACCGUGACAACGCAUUGAAUAUGGCGAAAGUACAGAGUUACACGAAUGAAUGAAUUGUAUCGCAGCUGAAUGAAGUGU